rnacentral:rRNA from 1 species
CCUACGGGAGGCAGCAGUGGGGAAUAUUGCACAAUGGGGGAAACCCUGAUCCAGCAACGCCGCGUGAGUGAUGACGGCCCUCUGGUUUUUAAGCUCUGUUUUCAGGGACGAUAAUGACGGUACCCGUGCAGGAAGCCACGGCUAACUACGUGUCAGCAGCCGCGGUCAUACGUAGGUGGCGAGCGUUGUCCGGAUUUACUGGGCGUAAAGGGAGAGUAGGCGGGCUUUUAAGUGAGAUGUGAAAUAGUCGGGCUCAACUUGAGUGCUGCAUUUCAAACUGGAAGUCUUGAGUGCAGGAGAGGAGAAUGGAAUUCCUGGUGUAGCGGUGAAAUGCGUAGAGAUUAGGAAGAACACCAGUGGCGAAGGCGGUUCACUGGACUGUAACUGACGCUGAGGCUCGAAAGCGUGGGGAGCAAACAGGAUUAGAUACCCGGGUAGUC